GGUAGAAAGCUUUCCUAUUAGCUGGGAGUGUGACCUACUUUUCCUUUCCCAAGGCGACCUCUCUAUUUGUGCUUUCAUCUCUGCCUAGAAGAACGUUGGUGGGCUGGCAUCGUAUUAUCUCUGCUAUUGAAAGCACAAGAGAAUGACAGAGGCAAAACUCUUGGAAGAAAACAUUAGCCAGGCCGACCUCUCCUCAGCUUCCUUUAUGAAGUAUUACAUUUUAUGUUAAUUCUUCAUACGGAGAACUAAAAGCUGGUAUUAGAGCACAAAUACUGCCUUUGGCAUCGAAGUUUUCAAAAAGUCACCAUAUGUUAAUUGAAGGAGGAGGAAUUGCAGCUGGCCACUAGAGGGAGCCUCAUUCACAGAUCUUAUGGAAUCAAGUUUAGGAAGACGAAGUGUCAUCACGUUUAGGCUUCCUGGGCACUUUGACACCAUACAGGCUUCUUGUGAGGAGGAGGUAUCAACAGCUGUGCCCACUGAGAGGCUUUCAGAUGCAGCAUCCACCAAGGUGUGUUAUCCACCGACUAACACACAUGACAGCCUGAACCAGCAACCUGCAUCAACACCCUCAUUCUGCGGACAAGCAAUGCAUUUCAACUGCUCAUUUAAUAAAUAUCUGAAUUCAUGAUUACAAAACAGCUUCCAUUUUUAACAAUUAAACCACCAUAUGCAUUUAAAAUCAUUUUGGGGACAAAGAGUAGCAAAAACUUAUAUUGGAUAUUGACUAAAAACACUUAUGAAUAUCUAUAAUUUGCUCCUUUUCCCUUUUCAUCAUAGACUCUUUACAACAGUACUGACCUUGGGGUUGAUUACAAAGUAGGUUUUCACCAGGUGCUGCUUUAAAUAUGGGUCCCUAAUGUCACCAUCUCCCUCCUCCACUUUAUAAGCGCCAUUCAAGUGCUCCAGGGUGACGGAAGAAAUGUGAACACGUCUGAAAUUGCAUUUUAAAAUCACAGUCAAGACACAAAAGGAUAAGUGUGAAGAAAGUUGUUCUAUUUGCUCAUGAUUUCUGAAAUAAUGUAUCCACCAAAUGAAGGAAAGUCUACAUGUUCUUGGGAGCACUGACUGCAAUUAACUUUAAUAUAAACUUUUAUAUUCUAUUGACCACUGCUUUGGAAAGAUGCUCUUGGAGGUCAUGCACUACUAGUUUUGGAGUUUCUCUGCAUUCACAGAAACCUGCAUGUUGGGUGUGGUGAAUUACAGCAAAUACAACUUUAUUAUCUCGUAUCUUUUGGAGAAUACCUUUUGAAAUGUAUGUCAUGGGCAUUUUAGAAGCAUGCUAAUCUGUAUAAUAGUGUAGAUUUUCUUUCUCAGUGCUUUCUCUUGUGCUUCUCUCAACUAUAGCCCUUGAUAAGGAUUCUCUUGACUGAAAUAUGUUAUUCUGCUCAGAGAAGGAUGCUGUAGUCACUUAUUUUAAUAUAAUGGUUUUAAAGGUCAACAGUUCUGGACAGAUGCCAUAUCUGGACUGUAUUGUAAAACAUCUUUAAAUCAGGUCUCUAGUCAUACAUUUGCAAAUAAGUAAAAGUUUGUAAUUUAC